CCUACGGGAGGCAGCAGUGAGGAAUAUUGGUCAAUGGGCGCGAGCCUGAACCAGCCAAGUAGCGUGAAGGAUGACUGCCCUACGGGUUGUAAACUUCUUUUAUAAAGGAAUAAAGUGAGGCACGUGUGCCUUUUUGUAUGUACUUUAUGAAUAAGGAUCGGCUAACUCCGUGCCAGCAGCCGCGGUAAUACGGAGAAUCCGAGCGUUCUCCGGAUUUCUUGGGUUUAAAGGGAGCGUAGAUGGGUUGUUAAGUCAGUUGUGAAAGUUUGCGGCUCAACCGUAAAAUUGCAAUUGAUACUGGCAGUCUUGAGUACGGUUGAGGUAGGCGGAAUGCGUGGUGUAGCGGUGAAAUGCAUAGAUAUCACGAAGAACUCCGAUUGCGAAGGCAGCUUACUAAACUGCCACUGACAUUGAUGCGCGAAAGUGUGGGUAUCAAACAGGAUUAGAUACCCUUGUAGUC
rnacentral:rRNA from 1 species